rnacentral:tRNA from 1 species
GGUUUCGUGGUCUAGUUGGUCAUGACAUUUCGUUAACAGUUUCGUACGUUGACACCACCGAAAAGGUCCCCGGUUCGAGCCCGGGCGAGAUCA